UCGAGCGGUAGCACAGAGAGCUUGCUCUCGGGUGACGAGCGGCGGACGGGUGAGUAAUGUCUGGGAAACUGCCUGAUGGAGGGGGAUAACUACUGGAAACGGUAGCUAAUACCGCAUAACGUCGCAAGACCAAAGUGGGGGACCUUCGGGCCUCAUGCCAUCAGAUGUGCCCAGAUGGGAUUAGCUGGUAGGUGGGGUAACGGCUCACCUAGGCGACGAUCCCUAGCUGGUCUGAGAGGAUGACCAGCCACACUGGAACUGAGACACGGUCCAGACUCCUACGGGAGGCAGCAGUGGGGAAUAUUGCACAAUGGGCGCAAGCCUGAUGCAGCCAUGCCGCGUGUGUGAAGAAGGCCUUCGGGUUGUAAAGCACUUUCAGCGGGGAGGAAGGCGGUGAGGUUAAUAACCUUAUCGAUUGACGUUACCCGCAGAAGAAGCACCGGCUAACUCCGUGCCAGCAGCCGCGGUAAUACGGAGGGUGCAAGCGUUAAUCGGAAUUACUGGGCGUAAAGCGCACGCAGGCGGUCUGUCAAGUCGGAUGUGAAAUCCCCGGGCUCAACCUGGGAACUGCAUUCGAAACUGGCAGGCUAGAGUCUUGUAGAGGGGGGUAGAAUUCCAGGUGUAGCGGUGAAAUGCGUAGAGAUCUGGAGGAAUACCGGUGGCGAAGGCGGCCCCCUGGACAAAGACUGACGCUCAGGUGCGAAAGCGUGGGGAGCAAACAGGAUUAGAUACCCUGGUAGUCCACGCUGUAAACGAUGUCGAUUUGGAGGUUGUGCCCUUGAGGCGUGGCUUCCGGAGCUAACGCGUUAAAUCGACCGCCUGGGGAGUACGGCCGCAAGGUUAAAACUCAAAUGAAUUGACGGGGGCCCGCACAAGCGGUGGAGCAUGUGGUUUAAUUCGAUGCAACGCGAAGAACCUUACCUGGUCUUGACAUCCACAGAACUUUCCAGAGAUGGAUUGGUGCCUUCGGGAACUGUGAGACAGGUGCUGCAUGGCUGUCGUCAGCUCGUGUUGUGAAAUGUUGGGUUAAGUCCCGCAACGAGCGCAACCCUUAUCCUUUGUUGCCAGCGGUCCGGCCGGGAACUCAAAGGAGACUGCCAGUGAUAAACUGGAGGAAGGUGGGGAUGACGUCAAGUCAUCAUGGCCCUUACGACCAGGGCUACACACGUGCUACAAUGGCAUAUACAAAGAGAAGCGACCUCGCGAGAGCAAGCGGACCUCAUAAAGUAUGUCGUAGUCCGGAUUGGAGUCUGCAACUCGACUCCAUGAAGUCGGAAUCGCUAGUAAUCGUAGAUCAGAAUGCUACGGUGAAUACGUUCCCGGGCCUUGUACACACCGCCCGUCACACCAUGGGAGUGGGUUGCAAAAGAAGUAGGUAGCUUAACCUUC
rnacentral:rRNA from 1 species